rnacentral:misc_RNA from 1 species
GUUAGAGUACAUGGGACAGAGCUUGAAAGUUUUAAUCAUGAUGAUGGUUAUAGUUGGAGAAAAUAUGGGCAAAAAAACAUUUUAGGAGCUAUUCAUCCAAGGGCUUAUUAUAGGUGCACUCACAGGAAUACACAAGGCUGCUUAGCAACAAAACAAGUUCAAAAAUCAGAACAAGAUCCUUUAGUCUUUGAUGUGACAUAUAAAGGAAUGCAUAGUUGCAAAACCU